rnacentral:rRNA from 1 species
UACGGAGGGAGCUAGCGUUGUUCGGAAUUACUGGGCGUAAAGCGCACGUAGGCGGUCUAUAAAGUUGGGGGUGAAAUCCCGGAGCUCAACUCCGGAACUGCCUCCAAAACUGCUAGACUCGAGUUCGGAAGAGGUAAGUAGAAUUCCCAGUGUAGAGGUGAAAUUCGUAGAUAUUGGGAAGAAUACCAGUGGCGAAGGCGGCUUACUGGUCCGAUACUGACGCUGAGGUGCGAAAGCGUGGGGAGCAAACAGG